rnacentral:rRNA from 1 species
CAUAUCAAUAAGCGGAGGAAAAGAAACCAACAGGGAUUGCCCUAGUAACGGCGAGUGAAGCGGCAACAGCUCAAAUUUGAAAUCUGGCCUCGGCCCGAGUUGUAAUUUGCAGAGGAUGCUUUUGGCGCGGUGCCUUCCGAGUUCCCUGGAACGGGACGCCACAGAGGGUGAGAGCCCCGUAUGGUUGGACACCUAGCCUGUGUAAAGCUCCUUCGACGAGUCGAGUAGUUUGGGAAUGCUGCUCAAAAUGGGAGGUAAAUCUCUUCUAAAGCUAAAUACCGGCCAGAGACCGAUAGCGCACAAGUAGAGUGAUCGAAAGAUGAAAAGCACCUUGAAAAGGGGGUUAAACAGUACGUGAAAUUGUUGAAAGGGAAGCGCUUGUGACCAGACUUGCGCCGGGCGGCUCAUCCGGGGUUCUCCCCGGUGCACUCCGCCCGGCUCAGGCCAGCAUCGGUUCUCGUGGGGGGAUAAGACUGGUGGGAACGUAGCACCCUCCGGGGUGUGUUAUAGCCCGCCUGACGAUACCCCCGUGGGGACCGAGGUUCGCGCUCCGCAAGGAUGCUGGCGUAAUGGUCAUCAGCGACCCGUCUUGAAACACGGACCAAGGAGUCGUCCAUUAUAGCGAGCGUUUGGGUGUAAAACCCGCACGCGUAAUGAAAGUGAAAUUAGGUGAGAGCUUCGGCGCAUCAUCGACCGAUCCUGAUGUUCUCGGAUGGAUUUGAGUAAGAGUUAUAACGGACGGACCCGAAAGACAGUGAACUAUGCUUGUAUAGGGUGAAGCCAGAGGAAACUCUGGUGGAGGCUCGCAGCGGUUCUGACGUGCAAAUCGAUCGUCAAAUAUGAGCAUGGGGGCGAAAGACUAAUCGA